UAAAGACUGUAGAGGCAACUGGU
rnacentral:miRNA from 1 species